GACGAACGCUGGCGGCGUGCUUAACACAUGCAAGUCGAACGGAAAGGCCCUGCUUGCAGGGUACUCGAGUGGCGAACGGGUGAGUAACACGUGGGUGAUCUGCCCUGCACUUCGGGAUAAGCCUGGGAAACUGGGUCUAAUACCGGAUAGGAGCCAUUUUUAGUGUGAUGGUUGGAAAGUUUUUUCGGUGUAGGAUGAGCUCGCGGCCUAUCAGCUUGUUGGUGGGGUAAUGGCCUACCAAGGCGGCGACGGGUAGCCGGCCUGAGAGGGUGGACGGCCACACUGGGACUGAGAGACGGCCCAGAUUCCGACGGGAGGGAGCAGGGGGGAAGCUUGAACAAUGGGCGCAAGCCGGAUGCAGCGACGCCGCGUGGGGGAUGACGGUCUUCGGGUUGAAAACUCCUUUCGCUAGGGACGAAGCUUUUUGUGACGGUACCUAGAUAAGAAGCACCGGCUAACUACGUG
rnacentral:rRNA from 1 species